rnacentral:rRNA from 1 species
UACGGAGGAUGCGAGCGUUAUCCGGAUUUAUUGGGUUUAAAGGGUGCGCAGGCGGAUUUUUAAGUCAGCGGUCAAAUGUCGGGGCUCAACCCCGGCCUGCCGUUGAAACUGGGGGCCUUGAGUGGGCGAGAAGAAGGCGGAAUGCGUGGUGUAGCGGUGAAAUGCAUAGAUAUCACGCAGAACCCCGAUUGCGAAGGCAGCAUACCGGCGCCCGACUGACGCUGAAGCACGAAAGCGUGGGUAUCGAACAGG